rnacentral:rRNA from 1 species
UACGAAGGGGGCUAGCGUUGCUCGGAAUCACUGGGCGUAAAGGGCGCGUAGGCGGGUCUUUAAGUCAGAGGUGAAAUCCUGGAGCUCAACUCCAGAACUGCCUUUGAUACUGAGGGUCUUGAGUAUGACAGAGGUGAGUGGAACUGCGAGUGUAGAGGUGAAAUUCGUAGAUAUUCGCAAGAACACCAGUGGCGAAGGCGGCUCACUGGGUCAUUACUGACGCUGGAGGCACGAAAGCGCUGGGGAGCCAAACAGGG